rnacentral:rRNA from 1 species
UACGUAGGUGGCGAGCGUUGUCCGGAUUUAUUGGGCGUAAAGCGCGCGCAGGCGGUCGCGUAAGUCUGCUGUGAAAUCUCCAAGCCUAACUUGGAAACUGCAUUGGAUACUAUCCGGCUCGAGGAAUGGAGGGGAGACUGGAAUACUUGGUGUAGCAGUGAAAUGCGUAGAUAUCAAGUGGAACACCAGUGGCGAAGGCGAGUCUCUGGACAUUUCCUGACGCUGAGGCACGAAAGCCAGGGGAGCAAACGGG